UACGUAGGGUGCAAGCGUUGUCCGGAAUUAUUGGGCGUAAAGAGCUCGUAGGCGGUCUGUCACGUCGGCUGUGAAAACCCGGGGCUCAACCCCGGGCCUGCAGUCGAUACGGGCAGACUAGAGUGCGGUAGGGGAGACUGGAAUUCCUGGUGUAGCGGUGAAAUGCGCAGAUAUCAGGAGGAACACCGGUGGCGAAGGCGGUUCUCUGGGCCUGUACUGACGCUGAGGCGCGAAAGCUAGGGGAGCAAACAGG
rnacentral:rRNA from 1 species